rnacentral:lncRNA from 1 species
GUUAAUAGUAAGCCGUGAGCUGUACUUUCCUGUUUUGUACCUUCCUAUUCUACUGCUAGUGCUAACGGCAUGGCCCAGGGAGUUGGGAUGGCAACCCCCAAUCACGAGCAUGCCUUAUAGGCUCUUGCCUUUUAUAUUGUUGCCUAGUUUAGUGAUUGGCUUAUUGCCUUAGAUAGCUAUGUAAUCAGCUAUAUAUAGUGAACUGUAUUCAGAGGAAUAGCUGCCUCACUGCACCACAAUACCUGUGUCUUCUUCUGUGUGUGUGUGUUGAUCGGUGCUCUAACAUUUGGUAUCAGAGCCUGAUCUCGUAGUUAGCCAUGUCUUCUAAGUCUCCGGCCAAGACUGAGAAGCCCGAAGGCAGCAACGACGAGAACAAGGUCCGUCCGUCGCGCUCGCCGCGACGUCGCCGUGGGCGCUCUGACAGUCGUCGUCGCUCCGGCUCCAGAGUUGUCGAGCGAAUCGUCGAGCGCUCGUCUGCACAUGUUGCAUGGCCGAUGCUAACCCGGACGAACUACCCGGAGUGGGCACUGGUCAUGGAAGUAAACUUCCAGACGCUGCGAGUAUGGGACGUCGUCCAAGACGGCCUCUCCGACGACGCCGACGACGAUGAGUACCAUGACGACCGCCAGGCGAUGGCCGGUCUCUUACGCUCGGUGCCGUCCGAGCUCUGGAACACGCUGGCCAGGAAGGACACGGUGAAGCAGGCCUGGGAUGCAGUCAAGCAUCUGCGGAUCGGCGAUGAGCGCGCGCGCGACGCCAGCGCGCAGCAGCUCCGCCGGGAGUUCGGCGCUCUCUCCUUCAAGGAGGGCGAAACCGUCAGCGACUUCGGCGUCCGCAUCUCCACACUCGCUGCCAACCUGCGCUCCCUCGGCGACAACAUCCAGGAUGCAGAGGUAGUCAAAAAGCUCCUGCAGGUUGUUCCAGAGAAGCUCACGCAGGCCGCCGUCUCCCUCGAGAUGUUCCUCGACCUCAACAGGGUCUCAAUCGAGGAGGUGAUCGGGCGGCUGAGGGUGUUCGAGGAGCGACUCAAGCCGAAGGAAGUGACGGACUCGCUGGGCCGACUGAUGCUCUGUGAAGAGGACUGGGAGGCGCGCCGCAAAUCACGUCGUGAGCAGGAGAACUCCGGCGGAUCGGGUUCUGGCGCCCGCGGCAAGCAGCGUGGGCGCGGACGCGGACGCGGCGGCUCAGGCACUUCGUCGCGUGAUGGCCGUGAUGGCCAGAACGCGCAGGCGGCCAAACCUGGCGGCAAGAAGCGGCCCCCCGGCUACCACUGCCAGUCCUGCGGCAAAACUGGUCACUGGACCAAUGAGUGCCGCAGCAAGAAGAAGGGCGCGGCGCACGUCGCACAAGCCGAGGAAGAAGAGCACGCGCUGAUGUACAUCACGGCGGAUCCAGAGGUAAUUGCAUCGCCCGUGGCGUGUUGUCCUCACAGGCCUCCAUUGACGCCAGCAGCCCCGGAGUCGGAGACACGGGUUCACAUCACUGAACCCAAGGUCCUCCUUCACCUCAGCGAGGAGCAGGAGGAGGCCGUGCAACCCCAUCGGUGGGUGCUCGACACUGGCGCAACGAACCACAUGACGGGCGCCCGCAAUGUCUUCGCCGAGCUCGACACCAGCAUCUCUGGAACAGUCAAGUUCGGAGACGGCUCGGUGGUGAACAUCCAUGGCAAGGGGACGGUACUGUUCGUCUGCAGGACCGGUGAACAUCGUCAGCUGGACGGCGUCUACUACAUCCCUCGCCUCACCACCAACAUCAUCAGUCUCGGCCAGCUGGACGAGACUGGGUUCAAGGUCGACAUCGAGUCGGGCAUACUCCGUCUCUUCGACCCGGACCGGCAGCUGCUGGCGAAGGUGCAUCGAUCGCCAAGUCGAUUGUACUUCCUCGACAUGAAGGUGACUGCCUCUGUGUGCCUCACAGCACGGGUUGGCGACAUGGCGUGGCGAUGGCACGAACGCUACGGUCACCUCAACUUCAAGGCGCUGCGCAAACUGGGACGCGCCGACAUGGUGUGUGGACUGCCCACCAUAGACCAUGUCGAGCAGGUCUGUGAAGACUGCGUCCUGGCGAAACAGAAGCGGGCGCCGUUCCCCAAGGCCGCAAAGUUCAGGGCUCAGGAGGAGCUCGAGCUGGUCCAUGGAGAUCUCUGCGGCCCCAUCACGCCGGCAACACCGGCUGGGAACGUCUACUUCCUUCUACUCGUCGACGACAUGAGCCGCUUCAUGUGGCUCACCCUCCUGCGUUCCAAGGCGGAUGCCCCAGCAGCCAUCCAGACGUUUCAGGCGCGUGUUGAGCGCGAGACGGGCAAGAAACUGAAGGUACUCCGGACUGACAACGGCGGUGAGUUCACCUCAGUUGAAUUUGGGGAGUACUGUGCAGCAGAGGGGAUUCAGCGUCACCAUUCAGCCCCCUAUACGCCGCAGCAGAAUGGCGUUGUAGAGCGGCGAAACCAGACCGUGGUGGCAAUGGCGAGGAGCAUCCUUCGAGCCCGCGGAGUACCAGGGUGCUUCUGGGGGGAGGCAGUGCACACUGCUGUCUUCCUGCUCAAUAGAUCACCCACUGCUGCGCUCGAUGGGAAGACCCCGUACCAGGCGUGGUACGGGAAGAAACCCCCUGUACACUUCCUCAAAGUGUUUGGGUGUGUUGCCUACAUCAAGCAAGUGCGCCCACACCUCGCCAAACUGGACGACAGAGGCAUCAAGGUCGUCUUCAUCGGUUACCAGGACGGGACCAAGGCGUACAGGUUCUUUGAUCCUGAGGCCGCACGCGUCUACGUCUCCCGCGACGCCGUCUUCGAUGAAGAUGCGCGGUGGAACUGGGAAGAAAAUCUGGGCGCUGAUGACCGUCUGCCCUUCUCCAUCGAAGAAGACCACGGGGUGCAGAUGCAGCCGAUUGCAGCACCCGUGACGCGGUUGCAACCUGCGUCCACUGCCCCCGCGACUUCUUCCCCAGCCCCGAGCAUGACCUCGGCGUCAUCCCCUGCUCCAAGCGCGACGCGGGCUUCGCCAUCUCCUUCGACCCCGUCUGCAUCGACGCAGGACAUACGAACUCAGAUUGAGUUCGCGACGCCGCUCGCCAAUCGACUCCAACCUCGACGCCUAUGAUGAGGGGGAGCCACAUCGGUACCGCACGCUGGACAACGUCCUCGGUACAGAUGCAGUACCAGGGCUGGCACACCGAGACACCGCCGAGGCCGAACUCCACGCAGUUAGCCAUGCUGUGAGCGUGGAGGAGCCCCGCUCGCUGAAGGAGGCCGACGGCGAUCCUAACUGGGUUGCCGCAAUGGAGGAGGAAAUGAAGUCGAUCUGCGACAACCACACUUGGUCGCUGGUCGAGCUUCCACACGGACAUCGGGCCAUCGGCUUGAAGUGGGUCUACAAAGUCAAGCGUGACGAGAACGGCGCCAUUGUCAAGUACAAGGCGCGUCUUGUCGCAAAAGGCUAUGUGCAGCAGCCUGGAGUCGACUUCGAGGAGGUCUAUGCCCCGGUCGCACGGCUGGAGUCAGUGCGGCUGGUCCUCGCGAUCGCAGCACACUUCGGCUGGGGCGUCCAUCACAUGGACGUCAAAUCGGCGUUCUUGAACGGCGAACUCCAGGAGGAGGUAUACGUUCAGCAACCUCCAGGCUUCACCGACAACGACCACAAGCAUAGAGUGCUCCGCCUCCACAAAGCACUCUAUGGACUGCGACAGGCUCCGCGCGCCUGGAACCAGAAGCUGGACACCGAGCUGCUGCGGCUUGGGUUCAAGCGCUGCGUCGACGAGCAUGGAAUGUACACCCGCGGUCAAGGCACUGGCCGCCUGAUUGUCGGUGUAUACGUCGACGACCUCAUCAUAACUGGAGGAAACACCAACGCCGUGACAAAGUUCAAGCAGCAGAUGCUGAGCACAUUUAAGAUGAGUGACCUUGGCCUGCUCUCCUACUACCUUGGGCUCGAGGUGACACAGGGAGCAGCUGGUAUCUCACUCCGGCAGACGGCGUACGCCUCAAAGAUACUCGAGAAGGCGGGCUUGAGUGGUUGCAAUGCAAGUGCAACCCCCAUGGAGCCAAGGCUGAAGCUGCUCAAGGAAGGAACUUCGCUGGCUGUUGAUGCAACGGAGUACCGGAGCCUAAUUGGGAGCCUUAGGUACCUGUGCAAUUCCCGGCCAGACCUGGCUUAUCCUGUGGGGUACUUGAGCAGAUUCAUGGAGGCGCCACGGCAAGAGCACCUCACUGCUGUGAAACGUGUGCUCCGGUACGUGGCAGGCACACUGCACUGGGGACUACACUACUACCCCGGGAAGAAGAACUGUGGUGCGCCGGAGUUGCUGGGAUACUCAGACAGCGACUUGGCUGGCGAUGUGAAUGACAGAAAGAGCACUAGUGGGCUCAUCUUCUUCCUUGCAGGGGGACCGGUUGCUUGGCAAUCGGCGAAGCAGAAAGUUGUUGCUCUGUUCAUGCGAAGCAGAGUACAUUGCUGCUGCUGCUGCUGCGUGCGAGGCAGUUUGGCUGGCACGAUUGCUAGCUGAGCUCAUCGGAGGAGCUGUCCUUGCACCAAGACUGCUGGUAGACAACAAGUCUGCCAUCGCUUUGAUGAAAAAUCCUGUACACCAUGACCGGAGCAAGCAUAUUGAUGUGAAGUUCCAUUUCAUCCGGGAAUGCUGUGACAGGAAGCUGAUUCAUGUUGAGUUCGUCGGAACAGACUUGCAGCUAGGUGACAUCCUAACAAAAGCACUGGGUCGCAUUCGGUUCCAAGAACUUCGAAGCAUGAUAGGCAUGAAGAAGAUAGAGUAGGUACUCACGGCUUAGGAGGAGAUUGUUAAUAGUAAGCCGUGAGCUGUACUUUCCUGUUUUGUACCUUCCUAUUCUACUGCUAGUGCUAACGGCAUGGCCCAGGGAGUUGGGAUGGCAACCCCCAAUCACGAGCAUGCCUUAUAGGCUCUUGCCUUUUAUAUUGUUGCCUAGUUUAGUGAUUGGCUUAUUGCCUUAGAUAGCUAUGUAAUCAGCUAUAUAUAGUGAA